rnacentral:lncRNA from 1 species
GGACCUGUUUGACAGCAUUCUACACUUCUGAUGACAUAAUCAUCACUAUAGAAGAAAAAAAUAGUUGCCUUUUUGGAACAAGAUGAGAGCAUACAGGAUGAGAAGUUCGUCACCCUGGUCUGAAUAAUUUCCAGCCUCACUGAAAGAUUCAUAUGAAUAAAUUGUUUUGAUGGCAAUACGCAAUGGAUCAGACUUAUUUACGUUGCACGUGCAGAUACUGAGUGUCUAAUUCUGGCUGAAACCAUUGUGUCUGGAGAGGAAAGCCACCUUGAAUUCACACGGCUACUAGGGUCCAUUCUGGAAUACACAGGGAAUAAUGUGAUGAUUUAUAUGCAAAGCACUGCAAGCUUGCCUAGAGCAGUCCAGCAAAUGCCAAGUGUUUACUAAGAGGAUACCAUGUUCCUGAAUCUCGACAGAAAACAGCAUUAUAGAAUGAGGCUGUACCUGCGGCCAUUUUGCUAUUGAAACUUAUAGAAAUGUUUUUUGCAGUUUCUUUACAUGCUACUAAUAGUCAAAUACAG